AGAGAGACUUCAAAGAAUUUCCUUUUGUAUACUUCAGUUCACUCUCGUUUCAAAACAAGAAGCUGACUUGUACUGUUGCUGCCUUUAAUGCCUAUUUGUGUAAACAAGUCAGUUUUGUAUGCUAUACUUGGAGGAAAAAAUAUCAUGUUGAAUAACAGUUUGUAUUUACUAUAACAGAAACUCAUAUAGGAUUUUCCCAGAUAUCUAUUCAGCCAACAGAAACUUGUAAUCCUUACAAUCACCCUGGACUGUACUUUUCUUUGCCACUAUUGCCAUGAGUCUGGUCAUACAGCACAGGAUCUGUGGGAGAACUAGGAUACCUGGAUUUAUUCCUCCGUAUUCAUAUGCAGUAGUGUUUGCAUGGAGAUUGUAGCAAGGUAUGCCUCAGACACAUCAAGGGAAUCUGGAGUAAAGGAGGAAACUGGCUCUGGGAGAUGAAGCUGAAUUCCCAUUCAUUGGAACUACCUGCUGGGAUUUAUUGGUCUAAGGGGAGUAAACAGCAAUAUUUGUCUGAGGAACUGCACUUGCAAACUUGUUGAGGGGCUGGGCUCAUCCAUUCCUCUCCAUGGAAGCAUGAGCGUGCUGCAGGAGACGUCUCUCUCAGAAAACUGUGGCUGUGUUGGAACAGAGGUGAUAUGUCACACAGCACCAUCUUUGAGGAAUGAGGUUGGUUGACAAGAUAGGAUCCACACAAUAAAGCAGAGCAAGGUGAUGUUUGCCAACAGGAUGCUCAGCUGAGAGAGGUGAGGUUUAGACACAAAUGUGAGGUACUCCGGCUGUAGUGAGAAGUAGAGGAUUGAGAGAGGUUGAAGCAACAAAAACCUCAAGAAUGACAAAACUGGGUAUAAAGAACCCAAAGAGUUUGCCACAAAUGUUUAUACAGCAAAAAGAAGGAAGAGCCAGAGCUCUACAAGUGGUGUCUGAGAUCUGAUACUGUUCAUAUUACUGAAAUGUGGGAUGUCUUGUGCAAAUGUUUGAUGUAUUAAUAUGAGCUCUUCAGAAACAAAACAAAAAACAGGCAAGGAAGAAAAGAAUGAUACCUAUGUGGCAACAAAAAGAUUGCCUUUGGAACAGAUGACAGUUUGGUUGAGAAUUGAUUGGGAAAACCAAAAGCCUUCUUUAAACAACAUGAGGAAGCUUUUACAUCACAGAUUCUUGUUCCUGGGAGAUUUCAAUGUCCCUAACUUCUGUCGGAAGGACAACAGUGAAGACACAAGCAGUUAUGAAGAUUUCAGGGAUUAAUUAGGGAUAACUUCAAGUACAGUGUGCCAGCCAGGGAUCAGUCAUGGCUGGGUCACAAAUAAUUGCCUGAGAAUGUGGUAGCUUUGGUGGAUAUCAGUCUUAUAGCUUUGGUAAAAAUAAGCCUGAUGAAAACAAGACAAUAUGGCCUUGUUUUUAGUGAAAUGACACUAGUGUUCCAACACUGAAUUUAUUCUGCAACUGAACCUAAAUAUUCUUAAGGUUGUCCAAAGAGACAGUUAACACAGAUACACAGUCUUUACAGGUGUUAGAUUUUUUACUUUCAUAAGUGAGUUUUCAGGAUUAUCCAUGACUUCAGAAGUAGACAACUAUCUGUAUAUUGGCUUGCUUAGGAUUUGUCUGCUGAGUGUGCUGAAUUCCUUAUUUAGAUGAUCUGUAAGCCCAUUAAUGGAUAAUUUAACUCCUAAUGAUCAAGGUCUAGGUAUGAGGUAUGGCUAUUUGACCGCAUUAUGUGGUAAAGACAGUUAAAAACUUUUAGAGAGAAAACCUGAAAAUAAUGCAAGCAAAUCAGAGGGAAAAUAAAAGACAAAGUGAGGAUUUAUUCCUACUUUCAUACAGAAAUAGAUUAAGUAAGUGCUGUCUCCUGCCUGUACUGAAACUCCAGUUAUGUUAUGUGUUCAUCUAGUGGUUGGGAGGGCCACUUUAUUUUUCAAUUUUAAACUUGAUUGUGAAAAUGGACUUGUACUUGAAAGACUGCUGUAGGUAGGAUGUUCCAUUUUAGAAACUGAAACUAUAGCAGACAAUGUGUCAACCUCCUU